AAUCAACGCUGGCGGCGUGCCUCAGACAUGCAAGUCGAACGCGAAAGUUCCCUUCGGGGAGCAAGUAGAGUGGCGCACGGGUGAGUAACACGUAGGUAAUCUACCUUUGGAUUGGGAAUAACCACCGGAAACGGUGGCUAAUACCGAAUAAUGCAGCGGCACCUAAUGGUGACAGUUGUUAAAGCGGGGGAUCGCAAGACCUCGCGUCUGAAGAGGAGCCUGCGGCAGAUUAGCUAGUUGGUAAGGUAACGGCUUACCAAGGCGAUGAUCUGUAGCCGGCCUGAGAGGGCGGUCGGCCACACUGACACUGACAUACGGGUCAGACUCCUACGGGAGG
rnacentral:rRNA from 1 species